rnacentral:misc_RNA from 1 species
UCCGGUUUGUCACCGGCAGUCCCAUUAGAGUGCUCAACUUAAUGUGGCAACUAAUGGCAAGGGUUGCGCUCGUUGCGGGACUUAACCCAACAUCUCACGACACGAGCUGACGUCAGCCAUGCAGCACCUGUGCACACUGGUAUUGCUACCCCGUCACCCUUUCAGGCUUCUACUAUGUGCAUGUCAAGACCAGGUAAGGUUCUUCGCGUUGCAUCGAAUUAAGCCACAUACUCCACCGCUUGUGCGGGUCCCCGUCAAUUUCUUUGAGUUUUAAUCUUGCGACCGUACUUCCCAGGCGGCACGUUUAACGCGUUAGCUCCGGCGCGGAGAGGGUCGAAUCCCCCCACACCAAACGUGCACCGUUUACUGCUAGGACUAC